rnacentral:lncRNA from 1 species
ACGGGCCCGAUCGUGCGUGCGCGCGACUUUUUUCAUGUGCGCCGGCUCGUUUUUCGCCUUUUUUCCCUUUUUCUUUGUCGUCAAGGACACACGUGCUCUGCCGCGGUUUGGGCGUCGCUUUGCGCACGCACCGUCCGUUUCGGCAUUGCGCGCUCCUUGAGCGCACGCUCGCCCGCAGCAUUGCCAGACGCGCCUGAAAGAAAAUCCAGCCUCUCUGACAGAGGACCCGCGCGGUGCCAGCGGCCUGUCCUGCCCCCAUUUCCUUUCGAACAGGAGUUUCACACACAAAAAAGUAC